UUGCCCAUUAUAUACAUGCACAAUUAAUGUGUUAAAUAUAAUAACCACUGUGUGCUUGAUAAUUUCUUACAAGUCAGGAUAAAUAAAUACUACAGACACUAAGGUUAAGAUCAGAUAAGACUAAUGAUAAACACUUGUGUUUCCCUCUAUCUGAUGCAUGACUAAUCUCCUGAUGGGGCAUUCUGGUAUACUGACCAGACUGUUCCAUGUGAUUAUUAAGGUAGUCUGAGCAGUAUACAUUUCAAAACAAUCAGUUAAGAAGGUAAUUGACACUUUGAUUCUCUUUCAAAAACUUAUUAUGAUUUUCAAAUUCUACAUUUACUUAUCAUUUGAUAUGUUUUUACACUCAAUAAAUGUAAAAAUAAGAUGGUGGGACUGUUUUGAUAUUUUUGGAUAAUCCCUGUUUCACAUAAUGAUGGACCUGUCCGUCCAGUUAAACUGUUGAACAAUUUGAAAUCUCAGAUAUAUGGGUCAGCUGCUUAUUGAAUGCCACCACAAAGGAUCUUGCAAAAUUUUGGAGAUUACAUCUUGUUUUUGAAUGUUGUGUACAUAUUUUGGAAUUUUCAAAGAAAACAUUUAUCUAAAUGUGACAAGAUUGUGGAAAUGUUUGGUUGUUGUAAAUGAACUAAGAGUGAACUGAGGGAGGAAGAUUAUACAAAAGAAUCAUAGUAAAAAGUUUCAGACUGGGCCAUUGCAGACUGUGAAAAUUUGCCAACUUAGUGUUUAUAGUAUCAGCAAUAUUUCACUACCUUGGAGUCUGAAAAGGUGAACGCAACUACAAGAUGUGCCUAUAG